GUUCUCUUUCCCUCUCUCUGUCUCUGUGUCCUUCUCCCCUCUCUCUCUGCCCCACUCCACCCCACUCUGCCCAGGGGCAGGGCAGAGGGUGAGGGGCAGGGAGAGAAUCCCAAGCAGGCCCCGCGUAGCCUGCACAGCCAGACGCGCAGCCAGACGCGGGGCUCAAUCUCAAAACCAUGAGAUCGUGACUUGAGCUGAAACCAAGAAUCAGACACUUGACUGAGCCACCUAGGCACCCCUUCAACUCUCUUUUUCGAGGGUUCAUUUUAUUGAGAGAACGGAGCUCUAAAAUCAUAAUUUCGGAGGGACUCUGUAUCCUUUUCAUCCAACCUUACCGGGCUCCCCCUGAGGCACACUAAUGUCUAGAGCAGUUGAUUUUAUGAUAAAAAUGACAAUUUUAGGGGUGCCUGGCUGGCUCAGUCGGUAGAGCAUGUGAUUCUUGAUCUCGGGAUUGUGAGUUCUAGCUCCUUGUUGAGUGUAGAAAUAACAUAAAAAGACUUUGGAAAAAUGACGAUUUUAGGUCCUAUCAAGAUUUUUUGGAAGAGCUUAACUUUCGGCAGUUAGGUAAGUAGAUUAUCACUAGGACUGAGACCCGUCGUACUUAAAUGGUACUCCCGUAGUUACGAAAUUGUGGUUGCAAUUCCAUGAUUGUAUCUCCGUUUCUGCUUGCUUUUCGUUUCAGACAUUAUUUCCUAUGUUUUUCCUCGGGAAAUGAUCAUGAAGAUGUUGACCUGUAGAAUUACAGAGAGUUUCUUUGCUAUGGCUUUGUUGCAUCAAAUGAGAAAAUCUACUUGAAUACCUAAACUCUAUUACCUGCCGGGUCAGUCCGGAUAACCAUGCAAUAGAGAUCUUCCUUCUACACUGUAAGGAUUGAAGCCACAGGUUGGCACUGCUCACAGAUAUUAUCAACCCAAGGAGUCAAGGUAGCAAAACGUUGCUUUUUGCAAGUAGGGGAGCCGCUUUGCUUCCAGUUGAUGAAGUUGAACUGUUGGGUGUCGCCUGCACACCGUCCGAACUGGAGAACUUUAAUUCCUGAACAUGGACAUUUUCAUAGUAAGGAAUUAGCUGAGGAUGCUGUUACGACAAGGAUUGCCACGGCAUGAAUUGCUGGCAGCCAUGGAUCUAUCCACGUUACCUGAUGAAUCCUCAGAACUAACCCACGUCAGUGUGACGGUAAAUGAUUCAGUGACCCGAGUUUUGAUGUGAGGGUUCAGCGAGACCGUGUGUACGUACGAGCGUCGUGCUUAUUCGUGCUGGAAUGAUUCAUGGAUAUCUAUGCCAAGAUAGGUGGUUUCUUUAGAAUUCAAACAUCAAAACAUCUGCAGACACCUGUAACGGGGUCCUGGAGAACUGGCACGUUUCUUCCUUUCUCUGAAUCAAGUCAAAUUUUUGCCUUGGUAAAGAAGAGUGUGUGUCCACACGUGUGUCAAGCUUUGCCGAGGGAGGACACGUGAAGCCUCAUGCAGGUUGAUGGCUUCAGGAGGGAGUGACAGUCCGAUUCCAGUCUUGAGCAGAGCCGGUCCGGGGUAAGGAAUCUACUCCCAUUUUCUCACCACAGCCUCAGGUUCAGAUGGAUUCAGGGAAAGUGAACAAAACAGGCCUGGGCCUGAGAAUAUAAAGUUUGGAAACUACACUUCAACAGUCAGACUCCCAAGGGAGGGUAGAGGAAAUCGUGAGCUGAUAGGAGGGAAAAAGGAUAGCCCUGGGAUCUAAACUCAUUUCUUGUCUGGAAUUCAUCAGAGAUAAGUUAAAAUUUCAGUUUCCUCCAAGGUAUGCAGAGGAAAUUAAAUUUCUGUCCUCCCCGUCUCGAAUGUAUCUCUAUUUCGCAUUAGGGCAGUUUGGAUGUCUUGACACCGUUUUCUGUGUAUGUGGCUUGAUGGGAUUUGAGGGGAAGAGAUGUGGGUGUGUCUGCUGGUUUUGUUUUCUUACGAAGCAAACCAUUUUAAAACUUGCAUUCCUAACAACAUGAAAACCUUACAGGUUAGAGAAGAUUAAGAUAAUUUGCAGCAAAAAAGACAACAUAAAUGAAUUUGUUCACCCUAAGUCCUCCCAAUCGCCGAGGUAAACGUAGAGGAGGUGAGGGCCUCCUCAUCAAGAGAAGGAGAAGGCAACGGGCCAGCACCGUCCAGAGUACGGAAAAAUGUUGGGUACAGUCAUCGUGAUGUGGGGAGAGAGACGAAAACCACGUGUGAGAGGGAGAGGAGGACUGGGCAGGUCCCCUGUAUUGAAGCCAUGCUGUGUGCAGUUCAGUUCCCUGCCCGGAAAGGUGCCAAUCAGCUGAUUACAUGUAAUUGAUGUCUCUCUAGGUACAGCCACGUUGGUGGUGGCCUUCAGAACAGUGAUGGGGAUGGAGAAGCUUCUGUUCUUGAUCUGCAUGCCGUGGAUUCAGGAGGGCCCUGGCACCCACGUGGGGCUCAGACAUCCCCAAGUUGACUUGACUUGUCCAUUCCUAACUGUGAAUGCCCGCUGACAGGAGGGAAUGAAAAUACUUCUUAAAAGAAGAAGGAAGCACAGAAAUAAGCUCGUUCUCUCUGGGGCCACAUAAUCAGCGUGAACGCUCAAAGCUUGGAGGUGGUGAAGAGAACUUCGUCAAGAAUAAGCGAAAACGGGAACGCGCUGGUACCCCUUGGGCCCUCCCGAUGCUUCAGAGACACAUCAUGUCAGGGCAUGCCUGCUGAGGGACAGUCACAAGUUGGAGGGUAGCGGUGGGGAAUUGUCUGGGAUUAUGAGACCUUUAGUACGGUCAGCAGGAUUUGGUGGAGACAGAGAAGAAAGCUUGGUUGAAGAACGCAAGGGCAAACGGGCUUGGAUCCGUACUGUGUGCGGAGCCCUGCCCAGAAAGGGGGUCGCCACAUACACUAACCUGUGGUUAGUGACUGCCUUCCUGGGUAGAGCAACGCUGGCAGUAGGUGGCCCACGGGACCGUCCUAGGGCCAGAAGGUGCACGCGAUCCAGAGCUGCCUCCCUGAAACCACCCAGGAGGCCUUUGUCAGCCAGCUGGUUCUGAGCGCAGAUCCCCAGAUGGUUUUGGCGUUCGUUCCUGACCUCGUGAAUGCCUCCGGGUUGAAGGAGACGAAGAUGCUUGGUCAUAGAGGGAGAGACACCGGAACCAGCUGAUGGGCACCCAGUCCUCCUGAUCGUUCUGGCAAAUCGGAGCCGAUGAGGAGGUCCGCACAGAGAGAGACGCGAGUUGGAAUGAAGCGGGGUGGGCUCGUUUACGGUCAGGAAGCCUCUCGUUGGAGCGUCAUCAUCCUACAGUGGGUAGAGAAAUGAAAGCCGCGUCUGGAGAGCAGUCUGGUGUUCUGGGAGAGUCCUCCCCCUCGGAGCCGUGCUGUUUGCAGUGCCCUCCCGGGAAGGUGCCGUCGCUCUGUGCCUUGUGAAAGUAGUGCCUAAGCGAUGAUCGAGGACCAAGAGUUCUGUGAUGGCCUUUGGAUACACGGUGAGGAUGGGGACGUACGGGUCCUUGAUUUCCCUACUGUGAACUCAGGAGCCCACCCGCAACGCAGAGACACUCUCGUGGUCUGAAUGGUCUGAUGGGUUCACAAUGCGAGCGCUUACAGCUUAGUGAGCGUGAAUGGUUUCCUUGUAGAAGAGAACACGGGAGUCGCCUUAUUCUUCCUGUGUCGUCUUAAUUUUACAGGUCGGUAUCUGUCAGGUGAGAGGUUUCCCCGAGGGGAAGAUAAAACUUGGCGGCGGAUUUGCAUCGUGUAGGUUGACGGAAAAGUCACGGAUACGUUCGUCGUGCCGUGUGGUGGGUGGAGACGUGAAAGGUGUGUUCGACAGCGAGGACACGAGCGUGUCCCCCGUUUUGAAGCCGCGCUGCGUGUGAUGCCCUCCACCGGAACGUGGGUAGCAGCUGCCUCUGGUGUUGUCGACGCCUCCGCAGAGCGGCGUUCAACGAGAACAGAUUGCGGUGACCUUCCAACACGACGGCGGUCGAGCUGAAGGGGUCCUUGAGCUUCACGCAGUGAACUCCUAAGGCACUCGAGUGGCAGACGCCUGCACUGAGGCAUCGUCACCGUGACCUCGGUGAUCCAUCGCCAACCGUGUGGACGUUUAAGGUUCGAGAACGUGAGUGUAGAAGAGAACGCGGGAAGGAGCUCAUUCUCUGUGGGUCCUCGUAAUCAUCCGGGAAAACCACGCAGGUGACCGGAUCCUCACUGAAGGCAAGGUGCCAGCAGGAGGACACAGGGUUGGAAUUGGGCGAGGUUGUCGAAUGUUCACGAAAGUCAUCCUGAAGGGGUGGGGAGACCGAUGGAAGCCACACCCACCAGGGUGAGGCAUCCUGGGCAGAUGAUCGACUGCGAAGUCCUGCCGUGUGCGUUACUUGCUCGCAGAGAUGCUCCCGGUGGAGGCUUCGCGCAGCGUGCUCCUGUCUGGGUACAGUAAUGGUCAGUAGGAACAGUGUUCGUGGGGACAGCCUAGUGAUGGGGUCAGAAUCGGUUGUGUUGUCGUUUAGCAUAUCGCGUAUUGUUACGGAGACGGAUUUAGAAUGCGCGUGACGUGGUGCCUGUGACAGUGGGCCAGUUCUCUAUAUUGGGUCAUGAUGUGUGCAGUGCCUGACUCGCAAAGGGGUCCUCUCCUAGACCGAGGGGGAAUUUGCUCCUUUUUGGGCAAAGCAACACUCCGGAACAACACGUGUGGUGACCCAAACUGGUGACGGGAGUGGGGACCUGCGUGUGCUUGAGGUGCCAGCCCUGGCCCAGGGGACCAGGCACACCUCUGGGUCUGAUCUAAGGCAUCUUCGAGAUGACGUCAGCAGUCCGUUUCUAACAACGGGAAUAUGUACAAACUAGCGAAUAUGAAGAUACUUCUUUUUUUGUUACUGUUUUUUUUUUUUUUUUAAUU